rnacentral:rRNA from 1 species
UACGAAGGGGGCUAGCGUUGCUCGGAAUCACUGGGCGUAAAGCGCACGUAGGCGGGUCCUUAAGUCAGGGGUGAAAUCCCGGAGCUCAACUCCGGAACUGCCUUUGAUACUGGGGAUCUUGAGUCCGGAAGAGGUGAGUGGAACUCCGAGUGUAGAGGUGAAAUUCGUAGAUAUUCGGAAGAACACCAGUGGCGAAGGGCGGCUCACUGGUCCGGUACUGACGCUGAGGCGCGACAGCGUGGGGAGCAA